CUGACCAGUAAGCAUUUUUAGCUUUUUAUACUCAUUAAGAAGUUCUAGUACCUAUAGUCUUUCAACUUUUCAGUGGCAUAUGCAGGAGUAAGUUUUGAGAGAAAGCCUUCGACGACCCACUCGGGGACCUAGGGGAUAUCGAAUACCACUAAAUACAGUGGAAGGCUUCCUCCAACAAAUUGUGAAAAAAUUUUCCUGUUGGUAUACUUUUAUCUUUUUUUUUAACAACUCAAAACCCCUAAUUUUGAAGAUACAUGUGUUCCCACUUUAGGCAUUGAUAUUUUGGAAAAAACUUAAUCAUGCGAGAUAAACUGAGCCUGAAUAUUUAUCAUUACGACUGCUGAGGAAUAGUGCCUUGGAAUAAAAUAGCACGAGUAUAUUAUUUAUUUCAACGCUAACAUUUUCAUACUUUAUAAAUGUUUGUAUCCAUUCAAAGCAAUGUUUGUAACUAAAAUGGGAACCUUCCUAUAUUUUAUCCAUUUUCUUUUUUAUUUGCCCUCUUUUGUUAAAAGUGGACAUCAAAUAUUCAAGGUUCGCUUCACUACACCCAUCAGUCACUCAUGGCGAGUGAUGUUGGGUCCAGGGGGCGGAGCCCCUAUCUAGAUGCUGAGAUACGGGAAGGUACAGCCAAGUACUAAGAUUUUCGAUUUUUUUUUUUUAUAUUUUAACUGUCUUAUAUCCAACUGAAGAAGGCUGAGUUUUCAGGCAAAACGUUUUGGUUUUAUUCGUGUGUAAAGAGCCUUGUUACCCGCUGUUUAUUUGUUCUAUACAUUGAACUUCAUUCAAUUUUUUCCCUUUAGAGUCAAACGAAGAUUUAAGAAAAGACACAGUAAAAGGUCUACAAGAUGUCAACUCCUCCCUUCAACUUUUAACCAAACAAAUGAAGUCUCCUUCAGUGAACUGCACUGAAAGCUUACCAACUCAUCUACCACGGGCUGAAGUAAAAGAAGAAGUUUUGGCUGGUUUACCUCUAAUGGAUAAGGCUGGUUUAAAGAAAUUCAACGAAGACUUGAGCAACGAGGAAUUUUAUAAACACGCAGUCAGUGCAUUAGCAUACACUGCUUCAAAAGCAAAACAUCCCACUGGCACUGCCCGGAAUGUUCUUGGAAAAAUAUUGUCAAAUAAAAUAACCGGCAAAUUUACUUGGAUAUAG
rnacentral:lncRNA from 1 species